UACGAAGGGGGCUAGCGUUGCUCGGAAUCACUGGGCGUAAAGGGUGCGUAGGCGGGUCUUUAAGUCAGGGGUGAAAUCCUGGAGCUCAACUCCAGAACUGCCUUUGAUACUGAAGAUCUUGAGUUCGGGAGAGGUGAGUGGAACUGCGAGUGGUAGAGGUGAAAUUCGUAGAUAUUAGGAAGAACACCAGUGGCGAAGGCGGCUCACUGGUC
rnacentral:rRNA from 1 species